UGCGUAGGCGGAAUAAUAAGUCAGUGGUGAAAUCUUGCAGCUUAACUGUAAAAUUGCCAUUGAUACUGUCAUUCUUGAAUAUAGUUGAGGUAGGCGGAAUGUGUAAUGUAGCGGUGAAAUGCUUAGAUAUUACACAGAACACCAAUUGCGUAGGCAGCUUACUAAGCUAUUAUUGACGCUGAGGCACGAAAGCGUGGGGAGCGAACAGGAUUAGAUACCCUGGUAGUCC
rnacentral:rRNA from 1 species